UAGGGAAUCUUCGGCAAUGGGGGGAACCCUGACAGAGCAACGCCGCGUGAGUGAAGAAGGUUUUCGGAUCGUAAAGCUCUGUUGUUAAGGAAGAACGAGUGUGAGAAUGGAAAGUUCAUGCUGUGACGGUACUUAACCAGAAAGGGACGGCUAACUACGUGCCAGCAGCCGCGGUAAUACGUAGGUCCCGAGCGUUGUCCGGAUUUAUUGGGCGUAAAGCGAGCGCAGGCGGUUAGAAAAGUCUGAAGUGAAAGGCAGUGGCUCAACCAUUGUAGGCUUUGGAAACUGUUUAACUUGAGUGCAGAAGGGGGGAGUGGAAUUCCAUGUGUAGCGGUGAAAUGCGUAGAUAUAUGGAGGAACACCGGUGGCGAAAGCGGCUCUCUGGUCUGUAACUGACGCUGAGGCUCGAAAGCGUGGGGAGCGAACAGG
rnacentral:rRNA from 1 species